UACGUAGGGUGCAAGCGUUGUCCGGAAUUAUUGGGCGUAAAGAGCUCGUAGGCGGUCUGUCGCGUCGGCUGUGAAAACCCGAGGCUCAACCUCGGGCCUGCAGUCGAUACGGGCAAACUAGAGUUCGGCAGGGGAGACUGGAAUUCCUGGUGUAGCGGUGAAAUGCGCAGAUAUCAGGAGGAACACCGGUGGCGAAGGCGGGUCUCUGGGCCGAUACUGACGCUGAGGAGCGAAAGCGUGGGGAGCGAACAGG
rnacentral:rRNA from 1 species